rnacentral:rRNA from 1 species
AGAGUUUGAUCCUGGCUCAGGAUGAACGCUGGCGGCGUGCUUAACACAUGCAAGUCGAACGGGAAGCUUGCCUUCGGGUAAGCAGAGAGUGGCGCACGGGUGCGUAACACGUGGCUCAUCUACCCUCAAGAGGGGGAUAACUUUGGGAAACCAGAGCUAAUACCCCAUAAGCUCACGGACUGUAGAGGUCAGUGAGAAAAAGCUAAGACGCUUGAGGAUGAGGCUGCGGUCCAUCAGCUAGUUGGUGAGGUAAGAGCUCACCAAGGCGACGACGGAUAGGGGACCUGAGAGGGUGGACCCCCACACUGGCACUGAGACACGGGCCAGACUCCUACGGGAGGCAGCAGUGAGGAAUAUUGCACAAUGGGCGCAAGCCAGAUGCAGCGACGCCGCGUGGGUGAUGAAGGUUUUCGGAUCGUAAAACCCUUUUCUGUGUGACGAGAACAAGGACGGUAGCACAGGAAUAAGUCUCGGCUAACUACGUGCCAGCAGCCGCGGUAAAACGUAGGAGGCGAGCGUUAUCCGGAGUUACUGGGCGUAAAGCGCGUGUAGGUGGUUGUUUAGGUCAGUCGUGAAAGCUCCCAGGCUAAACCGGGAGAGGUCGAAUGAGACCGGACAACUAGAGUACAGCAGAGGGGCAUAGAAUUCCGGGUGUAGUGGUGAAAUGCGUAGAUAUCCGGAGGAAUACCAGUGGCGAAGGCGGUGCCCUGGGCUGAAACUGACACUGAGACGCGAAAGCGUGGGGAGCGAACGGGAUUAGAGACCCCGGUAGUCCACGCUGUAAACGAUGCAUACUAGGUGUACGUCUCACUACGGUGAGGGGUGUGCCGAAGCUAACGCGACAAGUAUGCCGCCUGAGGAGUACGGUCGCAAGGCUAAAACUCAAAGGAAUUGACGGGGGCCCGCACAAGCAGCGGAGCGUGUGGUUUAAUUCGAAAAUACGCGAAGAACCUUACCUAGGCUUGACAUCCCGCGAACGACCUGGAAACAGGAAGGGUCCUUCGGGAGGCGGAGACAGGUGCUGCAUGGCUGUCGUCAGCUCGUGCCGUGAGGUGUUCGGUUAAGUCCGCAAACGAGCGCAACCCUCGGGGUCAGUUACAAGUGUCUGGCCCGACUGCCUGUGAGAAACAGGAGGAAGGUGGGGAUGACGUCAAGUCAGCAUGGCCUUUAUGUCUAGGGCUACACACACGCUACAAUGGCGCGUACAAAGGGUCGCGAAGCCGCGAGGUGGAGCCAAUCUCAGAAAGCGCGUCGUAGUUCGGAUUGCAGGCUGCAACUCGCCUGCAUGAAGUCGGAGUUGCUAGUAACCGCAGAUCAGCUACGCUGCGGUGAAUACGUUCCCGGGCCUUGUACACG